UCCCCCACUUUGGUCCAACAUAAGAGAUUCAACAUGGUUGUUCAUACAAUUCUCAUAGGGCAUAUCCAUUUGCUCGACUCGUAGCUAAUGUCUUGUAUGGAUUCAACUAAUAUCAGAUCCAUUAACCAUCUUCCUCUCUAAGCUCAACACACAUGUACACCUCUUAGGUUGAUUGCCAUGUCCUUGGCGAUCCAACAACAAAAAUAUAUUGUUAUCAUAUUCCAUUUCCAUUUGACACAUACAACUCUUUGCAUCAAUCAUAUACGGCCUUACACCCC
rnacentral:lncRNA from 1 species